AUGUACCCCCGUACACUCUGGUUCCUCCGCGCCGUCCGCGCCCACCUGACGGCUGCUCGCUACGUUUUGUUAGCC
rfam:Xanthomonas campestris pv. campestris str. ATCC 33913, complete genome.